AUGGAUUGGAGCGACAAUAAUGGAACAACCCGCCACGACCAUGAUUCCGGCGACGGCGCCGCCACGGCCACGUGCUCCGGCAUCGGCUGCUGCGAGACGCCCGUCCCCAUCGGCCGCCCCUCCUACCGCGUGGACAUCAAGUCACUGGACUCGAGCAACGAGCACGCCGACAGGCUGCCCAUCGCGGUGCGCAUCGCCGAGAGAGGGUGGUUCGACGGCGCCUCCGCCGCGCUCCUCAACGACUCGCCGGGGUACUCGCCCUCGCGCGGGCCGGCGGUGCCCGUUGUCCUCGAGUUCGCCUUGGAUUCGAAGCCGGUGGUGCUGCCGGGAGUGGCAACGUCGGGCUGCCCCGUGGACGCGCGGAGGAGCGCGUGCCAGAGCAGCCAUACCUCCUGCCGCAACGUCUCCGGCAACUACCGCAGCGGCUACGUGUGCCGGUGCCUGGACGGUUACCAGGGCAACCCAUACCUUGCCGGCGGAUGCCAGGACGUCGACGAGUGCAAGCUGCCGGGCAUGUGCUUCGGCAAGUGCACCAACACGGCCGGAGGGCACCUAUGCCGGUGCCCGCGUGGCGCCCAUGGCGACCCACGCAUAAGAAAUGGCUGCAUCAGAUCUUCUCUAGGUGAGCACAAAACAAUAAAAUUGCACAAGGCGGACAUCGCCGAGAGGAUGAUCAUCCCCUUGGCGGAGCUACAAGAGGCCACAAACAAUUUCGACAAAGCUCGCGAGAUCGGUGGAGGAGGGCAUGGCACGGUCUACAAAGGGAUCAUGUCGGACCUGCACGUCGUGGCGAUCAAGAAGUCCAAGGUCGCGAUCCAGAGGGAGAUCGACGAGUUCAUAAAUGAGGUAGCCAUCCUCUCACAGAUCAACCAUCGAAACGUGGUGAAACUCUUCGGGUGUUGCCUUGAGACGGAGGUGCCGUUGCUGGUGUACGAGUUCAUCUUCAAUGGGACCCUUUACCAUCAUCUUCACGUCCAAAAACCCGCGCCAUCCCUGGCAUGGGAAGAUCGGGUAAGGAUCGCAACCGAAACCGCGAGAGCUCUCGCCUACCUUCACUCAGCCGUGUCGUUCCCUAUAGUCCACAGGGAUACCAAGUCCCAAAACAUUCUGUUAGAUGGCACUCUUAUAACAAAGCUCACGGAGAAGAGCGACGUUUACAGCUUCGGUGUCCUUCUCAUGGAGCUUUUGACAAGGAAAAAAACAUGCUCAUAUCGGUCAUCGGAGGAGGAAAACCUUGUCGCAUAUUUCACCGCAUCGCUAGCAGCAGGCAAGCUGGUUCGCAUGCUAGAUCCUCAGGUCGUUGAAGAAGGCGGUAAGGAGGUUGAAGAGGUGACUGUGCUGGCGGUGGCAUGUGUGAGGAAUGAAGGAGACCACCGUCCAACCAUGAGGCAAGUGGAGUUUGACACUUUGGUUAUCGCGGUGGCAUGUGCUGUAACGUCUGAACCUUAUGAUGUUUGUCUGUGGCAACUACUUUGGUUAUCGCCGAGAGCUGUUAAAGAGUCUGCUUGCUAUGCUUUAGCUUUGGCUUAA
rnacentral:rRNA from 1 species